AUUGAACGCUGGCGGCAUGCUUUACACAUGCAAGUCGAACGGUAACAGGCCUUCGGGUGCUGACGAGUGGUGAACGGGUGCGUAAUGCAUCGGAACGUGCCCAGAGGCUGUGGAUAACGCAGCGAAAGCUGUGCUAAUACCGCAUGUGAUCUGAGGAUGAAAGCGGGGGACCAAGCAGCAAUGUUUGGCCUCUCGCCUCUGGAAUGGCCGAUGUCAGAUUAGGUAGUUGGUGGGGUAAAGGCCUACCAAGCCGACGAUCCGUAGCUGAUCUGAGAGGACGACCGGCCACACUGGAACUGAGACACGGCCCAGACUCCUACGGGAGGCAGCAGUGGGGAAUUUUGGACAAUGGGCGCAAGCCUGAUGCAGCAAUGCCGCGUGCGGGAAGAAGGCCUUCGGGUUGUAAACCGCUUUUAUACGGAAAGAAAAGACUCUGGCUAAUACCUGGGGCUGAUGACGGUACCGUAAGAGUAAGCACCGGCUAACUACGUG
rnacentral:rRNA from 1 species